CAAUAGCGUAUAUUUAAGUUGCUGCAGUUAAAAAGCUCGUAGUUGGAUUUCGGGUGGGAAUGGCCGGUCCGCCGUUUCGGUGUGCACUUGCUACGCCCACCUUGCUGCCGGGGACGUGCUCUUGAGUUCACGCUCGGGACACGGAGUCGGCGAGGUUACUUUGAGUAAAUUAGAGUGUUCAAAGCAGGCCUACGCUCUGAAUACAUUAGCAUGGAAUAACACGAUAGGACUCUGGCCUAUCUUGUUGGUCUGUAGGACCGGAGUAAUGAUUAAGAGGGACAGUCGGGGGCAUUCGUAUUGCGGUGUGAGAGGUGAAAUUCUUGGAUCGCCGCAAGACGACCGACUGCGAAAGCAUUUGCCAAGAAUGUUUUCAUUAA
rnacentral:rRNA from 1 species